GGAGCAACAGGGAGAAAGGAUUCCUCUGAGCCCCUUGGAUUCGGGCUUUGAAAUCAGAUCCUGGCACACCUGAUUACACUCAAUAGCUGGAAAUGAGCCUUCUCCCGGACCUGGCCGUCCCGCCAGAUGGAGGAGCUGUUACUGAAUGCCGUAAUUCUGAGGAGGGAGAUCCUUCAGCUUCUCCUCAGAGACAGCACAGCAUGAGGACGGAGAGAGAAGGGGCAUUCCUCGAAAUGUGCUCACUGGUUACCUGGUCGGCUGGGUGGCUCGUCUAACCUCGUGAAGCCUCAGUUUCCUCCUGGGAUGGCAAUUCUCAAGAUGCCAUGCAAGUCUGUACCCAUCCCAGGGACCCAGGGAUGGCAGGGUGGCUAGAGGAUUAAAUGAGGCGAUGCCUAGAAGGAA